rnacentral:rRNA from 1 species
GACGAACGCUGGCGGCGUGCCUAAUACAUGCAAGUAGAACGCUGAAGAGAGGAGUUUGCUCUUCUUGGAAGAGUUGCGAACGGGUGAGUAACGCGUAGGUAACCUGCCUUGUAGCGGGGGAUAACUAUUGGAAACGAUAGCUAAUACCGCAUAACAAUGGGUGACCCAUGUCAUUCAUUUGAAAGGGGCAACUGCUCCACUACAAGAUGGACCUGCGUUGUAUUAGCUAGUAGGUGAGGUAACGGCUCACCUAGGCGACGAUACAUAGCCGACCUGAGAGGGUGAUCGGCCACACUGGGACUGAGACACGGCCCAGACUCCUACGGGAGGCAGCAGUAGGGAAUCUUCGGCAAUGGGGGCAACCCUGACCGAGCAACGCCGCGUGAGUGAAGAAGGUUUUCGGAUCGUAAAGCUCUGUUGUAAGUCAAGAGCGAGUGUGAGAGUGGAAAGUUCACACUGUGACGGUAGCUUACCAGAAAGGGACGGCUAACUACGUGCCAGCAGCCGCGGUAAUACGUAGGUCCCGAGCGUUGUCCGGAUUUAUUGGGCGUAAAGCGAGCGCAGGCGGUUUGAUAAGUCUGAAGUUAAAGGCUGUGGCUCAACCAUAGUUCGCUUUGGAAACUGUCAAACUUGAGUGCAGAAGGGGAGAGUGGAAUUCCAUGUGUAGCGGUGAAAUGCGUAGAUAUAUGGAGGAACACCGGUGGCGAAAGCGGCUCUCUGGUCUGUAACUGACGCUGAGGCUCGAAAGCGUGGGGAGCGAACAGG